UGAGUACGCAGUGCUCGAAUUCUCUGGACUUUUCGUCUUCUCUGUCGCUCCGUCUUCAGAACAGGUUCGAGGGGGGUCUCUGUAAAAGCUAGAAAUUUAGAGUGCCCUUUCUCUAAAGGAUCGUUUUCCGUUGUCCUAUUGCUCUUUUCUUUCACUGACUGUAAACAGAGUCUAGGAGCUUGCUGCAGAAAGAAUGGCCAAACAUCAUCCCGAUUUGAUCAUGUGCCGGAAGCAGCCAGGCAUUGCCAUAGGACGACUUUGUGAGAAAUGCGAUGGAAAGUGUGUCAUCUGUGAUUCCUAUGUGCGUCCUUGCACACUUGUGAGGGUUUGUGAUGAAUGCAACUAUGGAUCAUUCCAGGGCCGGUGUGUUAUCUGUGGAGGAGUGGGAAUUUCUGAUGCCUACUACUGCAAAGAGUGUACGCAGCAAGAGAAAGACAGGGAUGGUUGUCCUAAAAUUGUUAAUCUAGGAAGUGCAAAGACUGAUCUAUUUUACGAGCGUAAGAAAUAUGGUUUCAAGAAAAGAUGAGGAUUUUGUACGAAGAAUCAACUAGUAUUCUAAAUCCUGUAGUGAUGUUCCAAAUAUAGAGAUCUCCAAUUCAAAUGCAGGAGACUUCUCGUAGACAUCUCUAUUCAUGGAAGAGAUCACUUCCUGCUACCAACCGUUGCCUACAAUCAUUAUCACCUUGUGGCCAGGAAGAGGUUCCCUGCAUAAUCUAGCACACCGUGGUCUUGACAUUGCCGGAUAAAGUGCAUGUUACAAUCCAUUACAGAUUUUUGUUUUUAUCGGCUUCCUAUCUGCUACAUAGAAGCUCAAUGUCCGUCAAAUUGUAAAGAGUAAAAUUGUAGAGAAUUUCCAUCUUCUAUGAUACAGAGUAGAUAUAGUUGAAAGGCCA